GACGAACGCCGGCGGCGUGCCUAAUACAUGCAAGUAGAACGCUGAAGGGGAGCUUACUUCUCUGGAUGAGUUGCGAACGGGUGAGUAACGCGUAGGUAACCUGCCUGGUAGCGGGGGAUAACUAUUGGAAACGAUAGCUAAUACCGCAUAAGAGUAGAUGUUGCAUGACAUUUACUUAAAAGGUGCAAUUGCACCACUACCAGAUGGACCUGCGUUGUAUUAGCUAGUUGGUGGGGUAACGGCUUACCAAGGCGACGAUACAUAGCCGACCUGGGAGGGGGAUCGGCCACACUGGGACUGAGACACGGCCCAGACUCCUACGGGAGGCAGCAGAAGGGAAUCUUCGGCAAUGGACGGAAGUCUGACCGAGCAACGCCGCGUGAGUGAAGAAGGUUUUCGGAUCGUAAAGCUCUGUUGUAAGAGAAGAACGAGUGUGAGAGUGGAAAGUUCACACUGUGACGGUAUCUUACCAGAAAGGGACGGCUAACUACGUGCCAGCCGCCGCCGUAA
rnacentral:rRNA from 1 species